AUGGAUGGCAAGAGAAUUGUGGUGGUGCUGAAGCAGCGGGCAGGUCAGAGGAAGCCUGCCACUUCCUAUGUGAGGACCACCAUCAACAAAAAUGCCCAGGCCACACUCAACAGUGUCCAGCACAUCAUCCACAAGGGCCUGCAGGGAGCCCUGCUCAGGGUAGAAAAGCUUCCUCCCUCCUUGCUGCCCCCUCAGGGCUCUGAGUGCUGUCUCUGCAGGUGUCUGAAGGCCAGGAUGGUCUCCCCAUGGCAGCUCCUCUGGCUUCUGGUGCUCUGGGCUCAGGAUUCCCAAGGAGCCAUUGUGCUGACCCAGUCUCCAGCCUCCUUGUCUGGAUCUCCAGGAGAGAGAGUCACCAUCAGCUGCAAGGCCAGUGAGAGUGUAUAUAGCAGCCUUCAUUGGUACCAGCAGAAACCAGGCCAAGCCCCCAGGCUCCUCAUCUCCUAUGCUAACAGGCUGGCAUCUGGAGUGCCUGCCCGGUUCAGUGGCAGUGGGUCUGGGACAGAUUUCACUCUCACCAUCAGCAGCUUGGAGCCUGAGGAUGCUGGAGAUUAUUACUGUCAGCAGGAACAUAACUGGCCUCCCACAGUGCUUCAGGCCUGA